rnacentral:tRNA from 1 species
UCCCUGGUGGCUCAGUGGUAAAGAAUCUGCCUGCUAAUGCAGGAGACACAGGUUCAAUCUCUGAUCCAGGAAG